rnacentral:lncRNA from 1 species
GGGCGGCCAGACGGAAUGACAGACGGACAGACGUACAGGGGUAGUUGAGGGGGGGGGGGGGGCCAUAAAAAAUAUAGAUUCAAGUACAUCUUUUAUUGCGUCAACUUGUAGACAGUAAACCUGAUGAUUUCUAUUUUUAAGUUUUUACCAUUUUUGCGUUCAUGUACUUACAACGUAUUUUUGUCUGAAUUAGUAAUUGUUUUAGAUAUGUAUAUUGAUAAUGGACAUACAUGUAUCACAUUUUUUACAACGUAUAAUUUCUUUUUAAAAUGUUCCAUAAAAGAGGGUCUGAUUGGGGUUGACGGAAUACAGAAUAAUGGGCAAAAAUUGCAGAAUAAAAUGCAAAAAAGAAAAAAAAAGAAAAAGUGUAUAAUGGGGUGCUAAAAUAUAAAGAAUAAAGAAUAUUUGUAAUACCAAAUAAAAAUUUAUGAUAAUUAUCCAGACUCUUAUGAGAAAAAAGAAUCUAUCAAUAAGAAAC